GAUGAACGCUAGCUAUAGGCUUAACACAUGCAAGUCGAGGGGUAACGAGAGGAAAGCUUGCUUUCCUUGUCGACGACCGGCGCACGGGUGAGUAACGCGUAUCCAACCUGCCCCCAACUAAGGAAUAACCUUGCGAAAGUAAGACUAAUACCUUAUAAUUUCCUCAGAUGUCAUCUGACGAGGAAUAAAGAUUUAUCGGUUGUGGAUGGGGAUGCGUCUGAUUAGCUUGUUGGCGGGGUAACGGCCCACCAAGGCAACGAUCAGUAGGGGUUCUGAGAGGAAGGUCCCCCACAUUGGAACUGAGACCCGGUCCAAACUCCUACGGGAGGCAGCAGUGAGGAAUAUUGGUCAAUGGGCGGAAGCCUGAACCAGCCAAGUAGCGUGCAGGAUGACGGCCCUAUGGGUUGUAAACUGCUUUUAUACAGGAAUAAAGUUAGCCACGUGUGGUUAUUUGUAGGUACUGUAUGAAUAAGGACCGGCUAAUUCCGUGCCAGCCGCCGCCGUAA
rnacentral:rRNA from 1 species